AAGUCAUAACAAGGUUUCCGUAGGUGAACCUGCGGAAGGAUCAUUAGUGAACGCCUUCGGGCUAUCCUAUCCAACACCUGUGCACUGUGGGGCUUUGGCCCUAACAAACAUGUUGUAAUGAAUGUAUAAACUGUAAUCUAUAAAACUUUCAACAACGGAUCUCUUGGCUCUCGCAUCGAUGAAGAACGCAGCGAAAUGCGAUAAGUAAUGUGAAUUGCAGAAUUCAGUGAAUCAUCGAAUCUUUGAACGCACCUUGCGCCUUUUGGUAUUCCAAAAGGCAUGCCUGUUUGAGUGUCAUGUAGACUCAACCUCCAAGGUUUUUUGACCUUGGUGGCUUGGACUUGGGCGCCUGCCUCUGGCUCGCCUUAAAAGCGUUAGUGGGACUAACCAGAAGCCUGAUGUAAUAAGUUUCAUCUUGCCAUGGUGAUUGCCUGCUCACAACCCCAUCUUCUGACUCUGACCUCAAAUCAGGUAGGGCUACCCGCUGAACUUAA
rnacentral:rRNA from 1 species